rnacentral:rRNA from 1 species
GACGAACGCUGGCGGCGUGCUUAACACAUGCAAGUCGAACGGAAAGGCCCUGCUUUUGUGGGGUGCUCGAGUGGCGAACGGGUGAGUAACACGUGAGUAACCUGCCCUUGACUUUGGGAUAACUUCAAGAAACUGGGGCUAAUACCGGAUAGGAGCUCCUGCUGCAUGGUGGGGGUUGGAAAGUUUCGGCGGUUGGGGAUGGACUCGCGGCUUAUCAGCUUGUUGGUGGGGUAGUGGCUUACCAAGGCUUUGACGGGUAGCCGGCCUGAGAGGGUGACCGGCCACAUUGGGACUGAGAUACGGCCCAGACUCCUACGGGAGGCAGCAGUGGGGAAUAUUGCACAAUGGGCGGAAGCCGGAUGCAGCAACGCCGCGUGCGGGAUGACGGCCUUCGGGUUGUAAACCGCUUUCGCCUGUGACGAAGCGUGAGUGACGGUAAUGGGUAAAGAAGCACCGGCUAACUACGU